GAUGAACGCUGGCGGCGUGCUUAACACAUGCAAGUCGAACGGAAAGGCCACAGCUUGCUGUGGUACUCGAGUGGCGAACGGGUGAGUAACACGUGGGUGAUCUGCCCUGUACUUCGGGAUAAGCUUGGGAAACUGGGUCUAAUACCGGAUAGGAAUCACAUGUGGGUGUGUGGUUGGAAAGCUUUUGCGGUAUGGGAUGAGCUCGCGGCCUAUCAGCUUGUUGGUGGGGUAAUGGCCUUCCAAGGCGUCGACGGGUAGCCGGCCUGAGAGGGUGUACGGCCACAUUGGGACUGAGAUACGGCCCAGACUCCUACGGGAGGCAGCAGUGGGGAAUAUUGCACAAUGGGCGCAAGCCUGAUGCAGCGACGCCGCGUGGGGGAUGACGGCCUUCGGGUUGUAAACUCCUUUCGUCAGGGACGAAGCGAAAGUGACGGUACCUGGAUAAGAAGCACCGGCUAACUACGUG
rnacentral:rRNA from 1 species